AUUGAACGCUGGCGGCAGGCUUAACACAUGCAAGUCGAACGAGCGGCGGACGGGUGAGUAAUGUCUGGGAAACUGCCUGAUGGAGGGGGAUAACUACUGGAAACGGUAGCUAAUACCGCAUACCAUCAGAUGUGCCCAGAUGGGCGUAGCUAGUAGGUGGGGUAAUGGCUCACCUAGGCGACGAUCCCUAGCUGGUCUUAGAGGAUGACCAGCCACACUGGAACUGAGACACGGUCCAGACUCCUACGGGAGGCAGCAGUGGGGAAUAUUGCACAAUGGGCGAAAGCCUGAUGCAGCCAUGCCGCGUGUAUGAAGAAGGCCUUCGGGUUGUAAAGCACUUUCAUCGGGGAGGCGUUACUCGCAGAAGAAGCACCGGCUAACUCCGUGCCAGCAGCCGCGGUAAUUC
rnacentral:rRNA from 1 species